rnacentral:lncRNA from 1 species
GAGCCCAGAACACGCACCCAGGCUGCAGGAAGUCAUUUAUCCUUACAAGAUUUUCAGCGUCUAAACCCAAGAUGUCUAGGAACAUGCGGGAUAGAUGACCGCGGCUUCAGCGCACGCCACUGCGUAGCAGCAACCCAUCCCCUAGCAACUUUUGUUUCCAUGGCAAAAGCUGUCCUGUUUACGUUGAGCUUUACUAUCCCCCACUGAUCCACAGAGAUGUAACCGGACUGGCGAGCAGGCAGGAGGUGGUUAUGUACAUUCAGAUGGCCUUGGGAAAAACAGAUGGUCAGAGCAUUAUUUUCUUGAUUCCCAUCCUGGAGAGGCCAGCUGUACUCACCACCAGUGCAUUUCCAGCAUGCAAACCAGGUGAAACACUGGAACAAACCAGGAACAAACACUGCAGUAGGAGAGGUAAACACCAGCUAAGGUCAGGUUUGUUUUGGUGCCAGAAUAAUA